UCUACGGGAGGCAGCAGUGAGGAAUAUUGCACAAUGGGCGAAAGCCUGAUGCAGCGACGCCGCGUGGGUGAUGAAGGUUUUCGGAUCGUAAAACCCUUUUCUGUGUGACGAGCAAGGACGGUAGCACAGGAAUAAGUGUCGGCUAACUACGUGCCAGCAGCCGCGGUAAUACGUAGGACGCAAGCGUUAUCCGGAAUUACUGGGCGUAAAGAGCGUGUAGGCGGUUGUCCAAGUCACCCGUGAAAGCUCCCGGCUAAACUGGGAGAGGUCGGGUGAGACUGGGCGGCUAGAGGGUUGUAGAGGGAUGUGGAAUUCCGGGUGUAGUGGUGAAAUGCGUAGAGAUCCGGAGGAACACCAGAGGCGAAGGCGGCAUCCUGGACAACACCUGACGCUGAGACGCGAAAGCGCGGGGAGCAAACGGGAUUAGAGACCCCGGUAGUCCGCGCCGUAAACGAUGUGUGCUAGAUGUUCGGUGUCCUACGGGAUAUUGAGCGUCGAAGCUAACGCGAUAAGCACACCGCCUGAGGAGUACGGUCGCAAGGCUAAAACUCAAAGGAAUUGACGGGGCCCCGCACAAGCAGCGGAGCGUGUGGUUUAAUUCGAGGCUACACGAAGAACCUUACCUAGACUUGACAUCCCGGGAACCCCAGUGAAAGCUGGGUGCCGCAAGGCCGAGGAGACAGGUGCUGCAUGGCUGUCGUCAGCUCGUGUCGUGAGAUGUUCGGUUAAGUCCGAAAACGAGCGCAACCCUUGGGUCUAGUUACAAGUGUCUAGACCGACUGCCUGCGACAAGUGGGAGGAAGGUGGGGAUGACGUCAAGUCAGCAUGGCCUUUAUGUCUAGGGCUACACACACGCUACAAUGGCGCGUACAAUGGGAAGCAAGACCGCGAGGUGGAGCGAAUCCUGAAAGCGCGUCGUAGUUCGGAUUGCAGGCUGCAACUCGCCUGCAUGAAGCUGGAGUUGCUAGUAAACGCAAGUCAGCAUACUGCGUUGAAUACGUUCUCGGGCCUUGUACACACCGCCAA
rnacentral:rRNA from 1 species